UACAGAGGUCUCAAGCGUUGUUCGGAUUCAUUGGGCGUAAAGGGUGCGUAGGCGGCGCGGUAAGUCAGGAGUGAAAGCCCUGGGCUCAACCCAGGAAGUGCUUUUGAUACUGCAUAGCUUGAAUGUGGGAGAGGAUAGUGGAAUUCCAGGUGUAGUGGUGAAAUACGUAGAUAUCUGGAGGAACACCGGUGGCGAAGGCGGCUAUCUGGCCCAACAUUGACACUGGAGCACGAAAGCGUGGGGAUCAAACAGG
rnacentral:rRNA from 1 species